rnacentral:tmRNA from 1 species
GGGGGCGACAGGUAUCGACGGGCUCAGAAGUGGUCUGGCGGUUGCAUGCCGAGGUGUCCGCGACCUCGUUAAUCCUGCGGAUAGAACACAACUGCCGCGUAAAUAACGGCACGCCGUUCCCCAACAGGAACGGCCGUCCGCCCCGGGAAUCGCCUUCCUACCGGGGGUCGGGCGCAAGACGGAGGGCUGGCUGCGGAGCCCCGCUCCAGGGCAAAAGCGGCGAGAUUUAAGUGGGGCUGGCGCCGAGGAGGCCGACCGGAACCAAAUCGGGGCGAGAUUUAAUCCGGCCUAAGCAUGUAGAGCUGUCAGGUCCCUGUUCCCGGACGCGGGUUCGAAUCCCGCCGCCUCCACCA